GCGGGUAUAGCACAAUGGUAGUGCGUUUGCUUCCCAAGCAAGCUACACGGGUUCGAUUCCCGUUACCCGCUCCA
rnacentral:tRNA from 1 species